rnacentral:rRNA from 1 species
AGCGAACGCUGGCGGCAGGCCUAACACAUGCAAGUCGAACGAACUCUUCGGAGUUAGUGGCGGACGGGUGAGUAACACGUGGGAACGUGCCUUUUGGUUCGGAAUAACUCAGGGAAACUUGUGCUAAUACCGAAUGCGCCCUUCGGGGGAAAGAUUUAUCGCCAUUAGAGCGGCCCGCGUCUGAUUAGCUAGUUGGUGAGGUAACGGCUCACCAAGGCGACGAUCAGUAGCUGGUCUGAGAGGAUGACCAGCCACACUGGGACUGAGACACGGCCCAGACUCCUACGGGAGGCAGCAGUGGGGAAUCUUGCGCAAUGGGCGAAGGCCUGACGCAGCCAUGCCGCGUGAAUGAUGAAGGUCUUAGGAUUGUAAAAUUCUUUCACCGGGGACGAUAAUGACGGUACCCGGAGAAGAAGCCCCGGCUAACUUCGUG